rnacentral:rRNA from 1 species
AAGGAUCAUUAUCGUACAACG